UACCUGCAGCUCGAGUGGUAACCGCUAUUAUUGGGCCUAAAGCGUCCGUAGCCGGUUUGGUAAAUAUCUGGGUAAAUCGUGAGGCUUAACCUCACGAAUUUCGGAUAGACUGCCAGACUUGGGAUCGGGGGAGGUCAGAGGUACUCCAGGGGUAGCGGUGAAAUGUUGUAAUCCUUGGAGGACCACCGGUAGCGAAGGCGUCUGACUAGAACGAGUCCGACGGUGAGGGACGAAGCCCUGGGGCGCAAACCGGAUUAGAUACCCGGGUAGUCCAGGGUGUAAACGAUGUGGGCUUUGUAUUGGAGGUCCCACGUGGGCGUCCAGUGCAGAAGGGAGAAGUUGUUAAGCCCACCGCCUGGGAAGUACGGUCGCAAGGCUGAAACUUAAAGGAAUUGGCGGGGGAGCACAGCAACGGGAGGAGCGUGCGGUUU
rnacentral:rRNA from 1 species